AGGUGAUUGAUUGUCUUUCAUGUUGCAGAGAAUGCUGUACUAGAUCCUGAAGUCGCUAAAGCAAACAGCCUGGGCUUUGUCGGAUGCCUGUCUUCAGUCCAGUACAACCACAUCGCACCCCUGAAGGCAGCUCUGCGCCAUGCCACCAUCGCACCUGUGACCGUCCGAGGGACCUUGACAGAGUCCAGCUGUGGCUCUGGGAUGGACUCAGAUGUGAAUGCAGUGACCACAGUGCAUUCUUCCUCAGACCCAUUUGGGAAGAGAGAUGAGAGGGAACCUCUCACCAAUGCAGUUCGCAGUGACUCGGCUGUCAUUGGAGGCGUAAUCGCAGUGGUGAUCUUCAUCAUCUUCUCCAUCAUCGGCAUCAUGACACGGUUCCUGUACCAGCAGAAGCAGUCACACCGCACUAACCAGAUAAAGGAGAAGGCAUACCCAGCAGACCUGGACAAUUCCUUCAGAAAUGACAUUGACUUGCAGAAUUCAGUGAGCGAGUGCAAGCGGGAAUAUUUCAUUUGAAAACCUACAGGGUCAACUAAUACUCCUUUGUUGUUAGGUUUUUCCUCCUUUGCAUCUAUCUCCUGUCUCUUAAUUCUGGUCAUUUUCUUUCUCUUAUUUGUUCCCCAUUUGAUUUUGGAACAUACCUGCAUCGACCACAGCAUUUACCCCCUUGACCCAGCCCAGGAGACCAGGCAGCUAUGGCCGCUGUCUUCCUCUUUGACCUAUUGUGCUGGCAGUGAUCACGCGAGAGGCUGACGUUACCACUGUAGACAAGGAGGCGACUCGCGUGUGCACAUGUGCGCGUUCAGUCCUGCACUCCUGUUUCUCAGAUGCGCGUCAGUGCCGCUGCCAUCAGUCGGCAGGCUCACUUGAACCCGAGCCCUGUGGCUAAGCCAUUAUCAGUCGACUAUGAGAUCCUCCCCAUCUCAAGUCCACUCCUACCAGGGAGCUCAGGGUAGGAAAGAAGAUGCUGGCCUGGUUUCCUUCAGCGGCACUUUAAAAGGAAGAGUUGGUUCAUUUUUCUUACCAUAGACAUCCCAUUGACCUAACUCAUAACCUUUUUUCCUUCUGACUCUUAUCCCCUGACCAUUUGCAAAUACAGGAUUCCUGAUUGUAGUGAGCUGUUGUGCUCCCAACUUACCACCCUCUCCAGGCCGGCACCCUGGAACAGCGCACUGCACCCUAAGCAUGGAAUAGUAGCCUACAGCUAGGAGGGAAGAGCGCAGCUAGGAAGUAGAUGUUCUAUAACUGCAGAAAUGCCUCUGCCAAUUUCUUAAGGAAAGCUAGCCAGGCCGUUCCUGGGUUAUUACGCUAAGGUAUAUAUACAUGAGUAUCUGAAGCAUAAAAAAUUCAAAUAACAGUCUGAAAUAGUACCUCGUUCCAUGAGCUUAAGCCAUCUAGAUUCAGUUUAAAACAAAACAAAAAGACCACAUGGAAGAAUAGAAAUACCAAACAGAAUCCUUCCCUUCCAUCCACUCACUACAGAUCUGGUGAAGAGAGUGAUGAAGGUGCCAUAUUUCAGAGCAAGCGUAAUGCCCCACCUCUGUCCACGGAGCCAUCCCCGGGGCGGUUGAGGAUUCACCGACAUAUGAGGCAUGGUGGGCUACAGUGAACACUCACUGCUUAACUUUGGAGGAGCCCAUAGGCUCCAGAGCACAUCACAUCUUCAAAUUUGCCUCAUCUGUGUAUAUAAAGGCACAUGUGUGCACACACACAUGCAUGCACACACAUGUCUUGUGGGCACAGACUGCUAGACAAGGUGGUGACAGAUUUCCUAGUCUCUGCCCCUUUGAUGACAAAGCAUCAAGGAAACACAACCAUUCCUUCAAGAAGGCAUCCCGAGCUCACUCCCCAGGUGGAGGUAGCAAUUUUGCUGCAGCAAUAUGCCUCACUCUCUGCCUCUGGGCCGUCUUGGAGAAAAACAUAAGGGGAAACCGUACAAAUCCUCCAGGAUGCUGGGAAAGCCAAUAUAAUGAUCCACGGAUGUGGAGAGUUCUUGCUGCUUCUCCUUAUGAGACAAAUUCUACUGGGGAAACAAUUACCCCCUCUGUGUUCUCCAGCCUGGACAGUCAGUAUUCCAUCUUGUCCGCAGGGUGUGUCGCCUCUAGGUAUUAACAUGGUCCUGCAAGAGAAGGCUCCCAGUGAGGAAUCCAUGGGCUGCAUAGAUUUCAGGUCCGUGCCAGGCUCUGCUUUCAGAGAGCGUGGUGUAAGGACUCAGUUUGUAGUCACAUCUCUCAACUUGAAAAUUCUCUAACUGCACAGGCUCUCCUUGGAAUAGUCUCUGAAUUGUUACUUAAUCGUUCCAUCAUUUCCAUUAUACAUUUCCCUAGUAAAUUUAUCUUAAUGUGAUUCUAACAAAGGCACCAUUUUUUCUUCUAGCUUUAAUAAGAUGAAUGAUCUAUUAAUAGGAGGGAAGAUCUUUAAAUCCUGCUUUCUCCUGUCCUGUCCUCUCCUAUUUCCACUUUCACUUUAGAGUUUUCUAUUUCUAUAAAAAGUCUGUAUAAAUCAGCCAUUUGCUUGGCUAUGCAGUCCUUUGUCCCCUGAGAGAAAAGUCUCCGUGAAAUGUAGUGGGUUUAGCCCGAAGCCUCUGCGAUAAUGAAAUGGAGAGGAAAAGGAAGGUGUGAGUAAUAAAGCUGGAAAAACAAGGACUCUAUUUUGCUGAUGCUGUGCUGACAGAAGAAAUGGAGGAGUAGAAAGACCCACCUAGAGUGUUUGCUUUUCUCAUCUACAUACACAUGCUCACAGCAGCUCUGUAGGUGAAGAAUUUGAGGUGCACCAUCCCUGCCGCAUCUGCCCUGGAGAACCUGCCAGCGUCCCUCGCUGCAUGUAGGGACUCUGUACACAGCACACUAUGGACCACAGACCUAAAGACAGAUGACCAGACAGCGCAUCUGCAUGCCACUCCUAGCAGAGAGUCUCAGGGUUAUAAUAGAAUUACUUUUACAGGGUGGGGUUAUUUCAUCAACUCAGCAAAUACUCUUUCACUGGGUUUUAUAUGAGAGCAAGCGAGCUGCUUCCUCCAAAGAAAACACUAUUUGCAGAUAGAAACAAGAGCUCACUCUGCCUGUCUUUCCUUCAGUGGUACCACAACCCAUGUAGCUUUGUGCAUUUUUAAAUUGUCUGAGUUUUUCGAUCCUUGAACAAUUAUACUAUAAGAAAAUUUUUGAAAGCCUUCUAACCCCUCCUUCACCACGGAUUCUGCUUCAGUAAUCAUGUUUUCUGAACUCCUGCUCUGGCCAACAGGACCACCAAGUCUCCACUUGAACUCUCAGUCUUUGUCAAGUGCUGUUUACACAAAAAAAUAAUGAAAUGUGGUCACUGUACAGUAAACCAAAAAUACCUGUGCAAUUUCACAUUCUAAGGGGGCUAUUUCAUUGAUAUCCUUCCACCGAAUAAAUCUACUUAUGCAAGCAAUAGUACAUCCCUUUACCAUAUAACAUAUCUAACACCCACUCAUCAUCCGUUGUAUCAAUAAGUUAGAUUGCCAUGGUUUCUAUGGGAAUUCAUCUGGAGAAUUCAAGAUUUCUCACUAUUCUAGAUAUAUUUUUUAUGAAUAGCUUAGCCUCUUCUAUUCACUCUCAACUGCAUAUGAGAGAUUUAUCUUAAGGAUCCUAGGGCUGACUUUUUAAAAACAAGUAUCAUUCCCUUUAGUAUUAACAGACAUGGUAAUAACCCGACUUCCCCCUUUUGUCUGACGCAUGCCCAGCAUAAGGUAGUAAUAGGAGCAGGACCAGAACAAAAGAAAUAGAUUGCUCUCUCUUUCUUUCUUCAUUCAUGAAAUAUUUAUUGAAUGCCCGGGAACCCAGGGACUUGGCCAGACAUUGAGUGUACAGAUAUAAAUUACACCUCAGCCUAGCCCUUGGGUAGUGCGAAGUCAAACACAUGUUGUAAUGGGCACGUGUUGUUAUGGCAGGGCAUGCAUAGAGUGCUAUCGGUGGAUAGCAAAGGUCCUGCACAAUUAUUUUUGUAAAGCCCUUGCUAGAGACUUAAAAAACAGGCAAAUUUCUGGAAAAUAUUUGUAAUUUUUUCUUGGUUAUUACUUUCACCUUUAAUAAGCUGCUCUUGUCUCCUCCUCGAAGCAAAUGCACAUCAAUGCAGGUAUGUUUCUGCAGAGGGAGAGAGCUUGAAUCUUUAGGGACAGCAAGAAUAAAUGUCCCUGUCUCUCACAUAUAUCUGGGAGGCUGAAUGAUACUUAUUCACUUCUGGUUGGGGGACUCUGGAAAAAACUCUUCCCAUCAAUCAGUCCUAAGUGUCAAACAAUUUAGGGACCCUCUUCUCCACUUCUGCUCCCCUCCUCUUUUCUCAGUUCUAACAUCUGGUUGGGACCUAUGCAUGCCAUUGCUCUUCCAGUCCUUCCUAAGUGGUCUUUGUUGUACUCCAGCUCCUCCUACAACCCUCUUUUGUCCUAAUGAGCUAUUUGACUCUCUGAGAACUAGAUGAAGUGUAUCUUUGAGCAAAUAACUGACUAAAUGUUGUUGUCCAUUUAAGUGAGGUCUCAGCUCUGUGCUCUGGCUGAAUUUUUUCAAUCCUGAAAGUCACACGUGUCUCUUCUCUUCAGGAAGCUCAUUCAGUUAGAGGAGCAGAUCUGGGGGCUGUAGGCAGAAUCUUCUCCAAGAUGGUCAGAGAGGUAGGAAUCAGGCCAUUUGAAUUAUUUCUUAUAAAAAGGCUCCACAACUUGUUCACCAACACCUUGGCUUCCUUCCAGUUCUCCCAUAGCUACAAUCUAACAAAACCACCUGGUAACACCAGCCUGCACAGGAGAAUUCCAGACAUUUUCCCUUGACCUAAAUAACUGGAUGCCUUUAGUCUUCAGUUGUCCUAAAGGUCACAAGUUGACCCAAUAAAUAAAGAGGGCCCUUUGUUCCCGCAGAUGCAAAGGUGAUUAAUGGAAGAAGUUGAAGAGAAACUCAAAACUUUCAGAAUAUUUCGAGCAUAGCUGACUGCUAUUUCAUGUCUCUCAUGCAGUUUGAAAGUGUUUUCUCUAAAAGACACACAGUGUAAUUGGAUUACUUCCUUACACUGUCCUGGAGUUGUCCUUAAACCGCUCCUCCCGUCCCCCCACCCACACACUUGUUAAGCCAUCUAGAUUUUAUAUAUUGGUUGUCCAUAACUUUUAUCACUCUUUCAUAAAUUCCAUAUAGUUGAACCUCCUAGAAAGAAUUAAAAUGCAAGAACACAAUAUACAAACACUUCGUAACAAUAGGGCUGCUCUCCAAGCUUUCUGCAGGACAUUCUGUGCACGUCUGAUUAGUAGGGAGACACACACAUUCCCUUUGAGUUGUCAUUUAUUUUAAACCAUCGUUUAAGGUUUUAAUAUUUCACUCUUUGGCUAUUUUAAGUAAUUUUUCUCUUAUUUUGCACUAAGGUACUCUGAGAAAAAACAAAAAAGCACAUUUUUUAGUGAGAUAUUGUCCUUUGUAAACUAGUUGUCUGUCUUUUGUAGUGUUUAUAGUCCACAAAGUGGCUGAGCAGACAUGAGCAAGGCUUAAGACAAAAGUUGUUUUUGGUGCCCCGAGCACACCUGCUGGGGCACGUUGAGGAGGAAUGUGUGGCAAAAAUCGGUUGUUGACCCAGGUGAGGAGGGCCACUGACUCCACCAUGGACCAGUGGCAACAGCUCUUCCCACUCUCCUGGCUCCUAACUCAGGAGUCUCUUUAGUGCGUUUUGAUCAUAGUCUCAAACGUUAGGGAAAAAGGCAACAUCAUGGGCUUUGCAUGAAGAAUUCUUUACUGCGUUUUGUAUGGCAUUUUUGACCCUUCCCAGCUCUACUCCAACCACAUCUUUUUUUUUUCAAGAUUUUAAUUUCAUCAGAAAUUUUCCAGGAUCUUUAGAGCUAUCACCAUAAUCAUCUAACAUGCCCAGGUUGAGCACCUACAUACAUCUUUAAAGAAAAGAAAUGGCCAGAAAGCCCCUAGUCCACUCUCUUGAACUAUCCUGAUUGGAAAGCCCAUUGGUGGAACCCCUGAGGUCCCGAAGUCCAUAGGCAUGUCAUAAUGAAAAAAAGUAUGGCACUCUGCAUUCCUGGAAGGGACUGUUCCAGGUACCUGCCAUCUAACACUGCCCGGGAAUACUGUCCUCCUCAGUCCUCCCUGGUGACACAGAAAAAUUCUUGCAAAUAAUGGUAAAAAAUGAGAAGAGUAGUCCCAGGCCAUGACCAAAAGCGAAGCUAAUUGCUUUAGUGACUAAAUUGCAUCUUAUUUUAAUUAGCAUCAUAUGCUUCAGUCUCAGGUGCCAGAAUAAUCUCAGAGCACAUGCAAAGGUACUGUGCAUGCAAAAGAAGUAUCUUAUUACCCUGUAGAGUCUUUGGGAGACCCACAAAAAGGAACUUUCAGUGGAAUGUUAGGGGAUAAUAUUAACAGGCAUCUACCUAGUCAUACAUUUCCAUACGGUCAACCCCAUCCCACAGGUUUACAUGAACUAUUAACACAGUUCCUUCUCCCUGAAUGUCAGUGUCAACCUGUGUAAUCUUAUCCUGCCUAAAUACUCACACAAAAAUACCAAACCUUGCUUAAAACAGCCUAGUUACAUUGUGAGAGGGACUUUGUGUUUCAUGAGGUCCAACACCAAGCAUUUUUCCUCCUGAAUAUGGUCGUUUCCUGGCUUUCUGACAUCCUGCGCUGUCUCAGGCUGUCACUUUCAUCAGUCAACUGGCAGAGGCAAAAGGGUGCACAGCGGCCACAGGGAGCAGGAGUGCUGGCUGAGGGGAACCAGGGCUCUGCCCCGUGAAUGGUAGGUGAGGAGUCAGCCAGGUUUUUCUGUGGAGGUCCAGAUAGUGAAUAUUUUAGGCUUUGUAGUACAGACAGUCUCUGUUGCAACUGCUCAGCUCUGCUGUUAUAGCGGGAAGGUGGCCAUACAUAGACACAUGGUCAUGGCUACUUCCAGUAAAUCUUCAUUUGUGAAAACAGGCGAUAGGUAGAUUUCAUCCCCAGCUUGCAGCUUGCUGGUCUCCUUGACAGAGCAUUGAAGGGUCAUUUUCAGAUGGGAGAUCCCUGUCACCCUGGCCUGAAGUCCUUUCUGAGGAAUGAGAAGGAAUAGGGAGAUUAAUGUUAACAAUUAAACAAUAAAAUGCAAAACACUUUCCCCAAAAAAUGUACACAUCAGAGUCUUUAUUAUGGCAAAAGAUCCCAGCAGGUCGCCUCUCUUCCUGGGUCUGCCGGAGACUAGCUUUUACCUUUGACCUCCUGACUUCUGUUUUCAAAACAGAAUCCCCAGUGAUGUUGCCUCUUUCCCCCAGUUUUGUAGACCAUGUAACAUGUCUUAAUACACUGUAUGGGGAGAACUGAAAGUUAGCCUUAGAUUUCUUUGUUUUCUAUGGUUACUGUUGUACAGAAGAAAGAUUUAAACUGUAAAUAAUGUAUAUUUAAUAAAGAGAGAAUUUUGUAUGAUUUUCUGUGGAAGAAAACA